GAUGAAGGUUUUCGGGAUCGUAAAACUCUGUUGUUAGGGAAAAACAAGUACCGUUCAAAUAGGGCGGUACCUUGACGGUACCUAACCAAAAAGCCACGGCUAACUACGUGCCACCACCCGCGGUAAUACUUAGGUGGCAAGCGUUGUCCGGAAUUAUUGGGCGUAAAGCGCGCGCAGGCGGUUUCUUAAUUCUGAUGUGAAAGCCCCCGGCUCAACCGGGGAGGGUCAUUGGAAACUGGGGAACUUGAGUGCAGAAAAGGAAAGUGGAAUUCCACGUGUAGCGGUGAAAUGCUUAGAGAUGUGAAGGAACACCAGUGCCAAAGGCAACUCUCUGGUCUGUAACUGACGCUAAGGCGCG
rnacentral:rRNA from 1 species